UAGGGAAUCUUCCACAAUGGACGCAAGUCUGAUGGAGCAACGCCGCGUGAGUGAAGAAGGUUUUCGGACCGUAAAGCUCUGUUGUUGGUGAAGAAGGAUAGAGGUAGUAACUGGCCUUUAUUUGACGGUAAUCAACCAGAAAGUCACGGCUAACUACGUGCCAGCAGCCGCGGUAAUACGUAGGUGGCAAGCGUUGUCCGGAUUUAUUGGGCGUAAAGCGAGCGCAGGCGGAAGAAUAAGUCUGAUGUGAAAGCCCUCGGCUUAACCGAGGAAUUGCAUCGGAAACUGUUCUUUUGCAUU
rnacentral:rRNA from 1 species